rnacentral:tRNA from 1 species
GCAGUAGAGGUUCAGAGGUAGAAUCCGCACCUUCCAUGUGGGAGACCUGGGUUCCAUUCCCGGCCAGUGCA